GGGACAGCGCGGGGACAGCGAGGGGACAGCGGGGACACGGCGGGGACGGCGAGGGGACAACGGAGGCGACAGCGGCGAGCGAGGAAGGAGCCGGGGCGGCCCCACCCCCCCCCGGCCCCCCCGAGGGGCGGCGCGCAGCGGCGAUGACGUGGCGCCCCCUGGCGGCCUCCGCGGCGCACCUGGCGGGGACCCUGGCGCUGCUGCUGGGGACAGUGACGCAGGUGGCACAGGUG